rnacentral:rRNA from 1 species
GACGAACGCUGGCGGCGUGCCUAAUACAUGCAAGUCGAGCGGACUGAUUAAGAGCUUGCUCUUAUGACGUUAGCGGCGGACGGGUGAGUAACACGUGGGCAACCUGCCCUGUAGAUCGGGAUAACACCGAGAAAUCGGUGCUAAUACCGGGUAAUAUCUGAGAUCACAUGAUCUUAGGUUAAAAGAUGGCUCCGGCUAUCACUACAGGAUGGGCCCGCGGCGCAUUAGCUAGUUGGUAAGGUAAUGGCUUACCAAGGCGACGAUGCGUAGCCGACCUGAGAGGGUGAUCGGCCACACUGGGACUGAGACACGGCCCAGACUCCUACGGGAGGCAGCAGUAGGGAAUCUUCCGCAAUGGGCGAAAGUCUGACGGAGCAACGCCGCGUGAGUGAUGAAGGGUUUCGGCUCGUAAAGCUCUGUUGUUAGGGAAGAAACAGUACCGAACGAACUAGGUCGGUACCUUGACGGUACCUAACCAGAAAGCCACGGCUAACUACGUG